AAAUUCUAUUCAAAGCAAUGCUUUUUCAUUUCAAAAAUGAAAUGAGUUAAAGACGCACAGUCUUUUGUAAACUCACUAAUGAGGGGCACUUAUUAAAACAGGUUGACCCUGUGAUAAAACUGUACGGAAAAUAAUUGUGUAAAUUC